AGUGAACGCUGGCGGUAGGCCUAACACAUGCAAGUCGAACGGCAGCACAGUAAGAGCUUGCUCUUACGGGUGGCGAGUGGCGGACGGGUGAGGAAUACAUCGGAAUCUACUUUUUCGUGGGGGAUAACGUAGGGAAACUUACGCUAAUACCGCAUACGACCUACGGGUGAAAGCAGGGGAUCUUCGGACCUUGCGCGAUUGAAUGAGCCGAUGUCGGAUUAGAUAGUUGGCGGGGUAAAGGCCCACCCAGGCGACGAUCCGUAGCUGGUCUGAGAGGAUGAUCGGCCGCACUAGAACUGAGACACGGUCAAGACUCCUACGAGAGGCAGCAGUGGGGAAUAUUGGACAGUGGGCGCAAGCCUGGUCCAGCCAUACCGCGUGGGUGAAGAAGGCCUUCGGGUUGUAAAGCCCUUUUGUUGGGAAAGAAAAGCAGCAGGUUAAUACCCCGCUGUUCUGACGGUACCCAAAGAAUAAGCACCGGCUAACUUCGUG
rnacentral:rRNA from 1 species